CCGGUCUGAAAAUGAGCGGCGGCGGUUCCGUGGCGCCGGGUCAGAUAACCGGGCCCAGAGCGACGGGCCGUUAAGCUCAUCGCGUGGCGGCGUGGCGGCGCGAUGAAACCCACGGCCCAACAUGG